GAGAAGGGAAGAUCAGGAAGAGUGCCAGUGAAGGAGGUCACACACACACACACCCGGCAGCACUUUAUGCAUAAAGUUCUGGGAAGACACAUUAAGCUAGAGGAACCCAUUUUGCUCCAGAUGUUGUUGGACUCCAACUUCCAUCAGCUCCAACCAGCAUGGCCAGUGAUGAGGGAUAAUGAGAGUGGAAGCCCAUUUUAAAGGGCUGGUUUUGACCUAAAAAGCUCUUUACUGCUCAGGAUCCCAAUAUCUUUUGGAAUGCCUCUCCUGAUAUCAACUACCAGACCCUUAGAUCUUCCUCUAAGGCCUUUCUCCAGGUCCUGCCUUUGAGGGAAGCUCGGAGGGUGGUGACAAAGGACAGUGUCUUUUCAGUUGUGGCUCUCCAUCAGUGAGGUCCACCUGACGCCAUCAUUGACAUCUUUUUGGUGCCAGCAUUGUGUAAGUCGCUUGGGGACCUUCAAGUAUCAAGCAACUAAUAAAUCUAAUAAACAAUAACAACAACCCAACAUCUGGAAGCUACAGGUUCCCCAUCCUGCAUCAAGUCAAGGGGUCCAUAAGCACUCAUCAGCUCAUCCAAGAUGCACUGUGGAGUUCUAUCAUGUCAACAUCAUGUUAAUGGAAUCUAUAUCCCAGAAGUGCAAGAGAUGGAAAAUUGAGCACUCCCAACUAUUGUUCCAAAGUUUUAUAUACUUAUCAUGAGCAAGCCUUUCAUUAUCCCAUGUACUGGUACAUAAAAUAAGGGUCCAGUUUCAAUGGCCUUGAGCUCGUUGAAGCCAAUGGAUUAACUUUUCAACUACAUUCAUAAACCAUAUUUUUCUAUGCCAAUUGUCCAGAUUUAGCCACAGUGGGUUUUUCUGCUGAAAUAUUACUACAUAUAUUACUACUACCAUAAACACCCGUAAAUCUUUUUUUAAAAAAUCAAUAUUACCAACAAUCAUGAAAAGCAACAUUAAUUUGGGGCAGUGCAUUUCUUAUUAUGAUUAGAGCUCCUGCCCUUCUCCAGAGGCUGGAGAAAUGGAGGAGAUCUCGUUGACCUCACGCAGACAGCUUGCUGUUUUGCAAGACUUGGCAUGUAAGUCACAAGUUCCCCUGCCAUCCUACUGCAGCUGGCAGAUGAUGGGAGCUUGUCUCUGUAAUCAUGGUGAGCCCUAAAAGGUGCUCAAAACACCUCGGAAGCUCAGCAUGACAACACAAACAAGACUCCAUCCUCCCUCACAGGGGAGGGGAAGGGUUAAUAGUGAGCACAAAUUUUGGCUGGCUAGAAAGGCUAGCCAAAAUUUGUGAAUCUCAUAUACUAUGCACUUACAUCUUAAUAGAUAUCAACACUAUAAUCCUUUGCCCGCAGUAGCCUGCCCAACAGCACAGUGAGCAAAAAAGAUUUACUUUACAUGCAUAUACAGCAAUUGGGGCAGGGUUAUGUGCACACACAACUUACCAGUUGAUCUCCUGCCUUCCAAACACUUGCAAUAUUAUAAAUGAAUCUAAUGCUCUAGCACGACAAAGCAUAAUGAGGAAGAUAUUAAUUAUCUAGUACACAAAACAUGCUUUGAAAAAUAUUGUAUGUGUUAAGAAGCAGAACAGAAGUAUGUCAAACAU